rnacentral:piRNA from 1 species
UGGAAUGCUCUGUCUCUAAGAAACAAC